rnacentral:rRNA from 1 species
ACAUAUUUUAAUUUUUAAUCAUUUUAUUAAAUUAAAUAAAAUUACAUUUAAAUCCACCUUCAAUUAAAUAUUACAAAAUAAAAUUCAUUUAAAUAAAUUUAUUGUAAUCCAUUAUAUUCUUAAUUAUAAUCUGCAUCUUGAUCUGAUUUAAUUUUUCAUAUUAAUUUUUAAACAUUAAUUUUAUUAAAAAAUAUUUUUAUAACAACGAUAUACAAAAUUAUAAAAUAAGUAAAUUA